UACGUAGGGUGCAAGCGUUGUCCGGAAUUAUUGGGCGUAAAGAGCUCGUAGGCGGUUUGGCAAGUCGGAUGUGAAAACUCCAGGCUCAACCUGGAGCCGCCAUUCGAUACUGCUAUGACUAGAGUGCGGUAGGGGAGACUGGAAUUCCUGGUGUAGCGGUGAAAUGCGCAGAUAUCAGGAGGAACACCGGUGGCGAAGGCGGGUCUCUGGACCGAUACUGACGCUGAGGAGCGAAAGCGUGGGGAGCGAACAGG
rnacentral:rRNA from 1 species